GGCUGGGUAGCUCAGUUGGUUAGAGCGUGGUUCUGAUAAUGCCAAGGUUGUGGGUUCGAUCCCCAAUCAGGGCA